CCAGACUCCUACGGGAGGCAGCAGUGGGGGAUAUUGCACAAUGGGGGGAACCCUGAUGCAGCGACGCCGCGUGGGUGAAGGAGUGCUUCGGCAUGUAAAGCCCUAUCGGCAGGGAAGAAGCAAGACGGUACCUGACUAAGAAGCCCCGGCUAACUACGUGCCAGCAGCCGCGGUAAUACGAAGGGGGCAAGCGUUAUCCGGAUUUACUGGGUGUAAAGGGGGCGCAGACGGCGAUGCAAGCCAGGAGUGAAAGCGCGGGGCCCAACCCCGGGACUGCUCUGGGAACUGUGCGGCUGGAGUGCGGGAGGGGCAGGCGGAAUUCCUGGUGUAGCGGUGAAAUGCGUAGAUAUCAGGAGGAACACCGGCGGCGAAGGCGGCCUGCUGGACCGCGACUGACGUUGAGGCUCGAAAGCGUGGGGAGCAAACAGGAUUAGAUACCCGCGUAAA
rnacentral:rRNA from 1 species